GCCCAGACUCCUACGGGAGGCAGCAGUGGGGGAUAUUGCACAAUGGGGGAAACCCUGAUGCAGCGACGCCGCGUGGGUGAAGAAGCGCCUCGACGCGUAAAGCCCUGUCAGCAGGGAAGAAAAUGACGGUACCUGAAGAAGAAGCCCCGGCUAACUGCGUGCCAGCAGCCGCGGUAAUACGUAGGGGGCAAGCGUUAUCCGGAUUUACUGGGUGUAAAGGGGGCGCAGACGGCGAUGCAAGCCAGGAGUGAAAGCCCGGAGCCCAACCCCGGGACUGCUCUUGGAACUGCGUGGCUGGAGUGCAGGAGGGGCAGGCGGAAUUCCUGGUGUAGCGGUGAAAUGCGUAGAUAUCAGGAGGAACACCGGUGGCGAAGGCGGCCUGCUGGACUGCAACUGACGUUGAGGCCCGAAAGCGUGGGGAGCAAACAGGAUUAGAUACCCGAGUA
rnacentral:rRNA from 1 species